CCAUUGCUGAAGAGUUCCACAAUAGGACGAAACGGUCGUCCAGUGC
rfam:Schistosoma haematobium scaffold735_2, whole genome shotgun sequence.